rnacentral:rRNA from 1 species
UACAGAGGUCUCAAGCGUUGUUCGGAUUCAUUGGGCGUAAAGGGUGUGUAGGUGGCGCCGUAAGUCGGGUGUGAAAUUUCGGAGCUUAACUCCGAAACUGCAUUCGAUACUGCGGUGCUUGAGGACUGGAGAGGAGACUGGAAUUCAUGGUGUAGCAGUGAAAUGCGUAGAGAUCAUGAGGAAGACCAGUGGCGAAGGCGGGUCUCUGGACAGUUCCUGACAGCUGAGACACGAAGGCCAGGGGAGCAAACGGG